GUAUGAAGCUGCAGACUCGGAGCCUGCUGCAUCUACAGUCCCGCACCCAGAGUCCCGCAUUCUCAGACCCCUCGUUUUUCGAGACAGCGCCACCUUUCAAAUUGGAUCGGAUAAACACAUGGAUAAACACGUGAAGAACCGAAACACGGCCAUCAUUCAUGGCCUAUGUGAGCUGCAGGCAUUAUCCUGGCAGGAGGCUGAGGAGGUGUUCCUUCGUGGCCCUACUUAUCACCCUAGUGAAGUUGAGGAAUUUGACCGGGUGAUUGCAAAAAGAAUGAGAAAAGAAGCAACAUUUGCCUCCCAGAAACAAGAUGACAGUGAUUAAGGUGAUCGUUAAAUAAAGUACAGAAUUGUUCAUUAUUGGUGUUUUGUCUAUUAUUUGAGUUUUGCUUCACAUUCAAAAUAUCAAAAAACAGGUUUUGUAAUGUUAGCAUGGUAUAAUGUUAAUUAGACCAUUAUAUGUUGAGCUGAAAGAAAAAAAUGGAAUUUGAAACAUUGUACAAAAACAAACUAAAACAUUGUAGCAAUAUAAUGUCACAUAAUAUUUUUCAGAUGAUAGUUCAAUUUGUAUUUGUAUCGGUUGCAUCAGUAAUUU